GACGAACGCUGGCGGCGUGCUAAACACAUGCAAGUCGAACGAUGAAGCGGUGCUUGCUCCGUGGGUUAGUGGCGAACGGGUGAGUAAUACGUGAGUGACCUACCUUUGACUCUGGGAUAAGCCUGGGAAACUGGGUCUAAUACCGGAUACGACUAAUAUCUGCAUGGGGUGUUGGUGGAAAGCGAUAUGGUGUGGUGUUAGAUGGGCUCAAGGCCUAACAGCUUGUUGGUGAGGUAAUGGCUUACCUAGGCGACGACGGGUAGCCGGCCUGAGAGGGUGACCGGCCACACUGCGCCUGCGACACGGCCCAAACUCCUACGGUGGGCAGCAGUGGGAAAUAUUGCACAAUGGGCGCAAGCCUGAUGCAGCGACGCCGCGUGAGGGAUGACGGCCUGCGUGUUGUAAACCUCUGUUAGCAUCGAAGAAGCGAAAGUGACGGUAGGUGCAGAGAAAGCGCCGGCUAACUACGUG
rnacentral:rRNA from 1 species